ensembl:snRNA U6 U6 spliceosomal RNA
CUGCUCACUCUGGCAGCACAUGUACUAAACUUGGAACGAUACAGAGAAGAUUAGCAUGGCCCCUGUGCAAGGAUCACAUGCAAAUUCAUGAAGUGUUCCAUAUUUAA